UACGAAGGGGGCUAGCGUUGCUCGGAAUCACUGGGCGUAAAGGGUGCGUAGGCGGGUCUUUAAGUCAGAGGUGAAAGCCUGGAGCUCAACUCCAGAACUGCCUUUGAUACUGAGAAGCUUGAGUCCGGGAGAGGUGAGUGGAACUGCGAGUGUAGAGGUGAAAUUCGUAGAUAUUCGCAAGAACACCAGUGGCGAAGGCGGCUCACUGGCCCGGUACUGACGCUGAGGUGCGAAAGCGUGGGGAGCAAACAGG
rnacentral:rRNA from 1 species